UGAAAUUUUAAUUUGGACCUCUUAUUAAUUUUCGUCCCAUUUUAGUCCUUUAAUUUAUCUCCGCCCAUCAUUUAAAUCUAUUAUGUUAACUUUUGUUAAAAAAUGUUAACAUUCAUCUUCCUCCUACAUCAACUUCAUUCUCAAACCCAGAAAAUUCAUCAUCUUCAUAAUCAAACCCAGCAAAAUUAAUAAACUUCAUCACAAAACUCAAAAAAAAAAAAAAAAAAACUCAAAAAAAAACCCAAUAUAUUAUCUUCAUCAUCAUCCAAAAUUAACUCAAGUAUAAACCCAAAACUUAAACUCAUAAAUCUUCAAACAACAAAUAACACAAAAUUGAAUUAACCGCAGAAACCUUCAAGUCUCUUAAAAAAAAUUGCAGAAACCUUCAAAAGAUAUGAAGGUGAUGAUGAACACAAUGAGUUAGCACAAUUCAUCUUUGUUUCAAUAGUUCCCUCAUUCGUAAUAUCAACAACCAAUCAAAGUUAGCUCGAUGCAUAAGAUUUAUUCUCUUCAAUUCUAAACUCAAAUCCAAAUUCACAAGGAUACCAAUAGCUUCACAAUCAACAACAUGUGAAGUAAAAUGACCUAACAAAGAACAAACCAAACCAACCCCACCAUUUUUCAACACUAUUUUCCAGCACAAACAUGAGCAACAACAAGUUUUCUAAGAUCUUUAAGAGCUUUGCCUCUACUUUGACCCUUUACCUUCUUGAGUGUCUCCAAUGAUUCCAAAACUUAGAUCCCGAUCAAAGUGUGUGUGGUGGUGGUUGGAUGGCGUGGUGGUUGCGACAGAGGCGAUGAUAGUGGUGGCGAGAUGAAAGGAGUGGAGGAGGGAGGAGACGAAGUGUUCGUUGGAUUUGAGACGACGUGGUGGUGGUGAGAUGAGACAACGUGGAGGUGACGAAGUGUUGGAACGGAGGAUAGAAGAUCGUCAUCACCGUUGUGAAAGAGAGAGAAUACGGCGGUGGUGAACGGAGCACGGUGGUGGUGAUUGUCUAACGACGAUGAUGGUGGUUGUGACAGAAUACGACGGCGAUGACAGUGAUGAGGUGAAAGAGAGUGGAUGCGAUGGUGUUGGUGAGUGAAAGAGAAGGGAGCUGUAGUGAGAGGUUGGGAUUGUUGUGGUGAGAAGAGAGACGAGGGAGAAGAUAAGUGAGGGUUGUGGGAAAGAGUGUUGCUUUUUUUUUUUUUAGUUUUUUUUUAUGAAAUUUAUUAAUUUUUCUAGGUUUAGUUACGAUGAUGAUGAAUUUUUUGAGUUUGAGGAUGAAGUUGAUGUAGGAUGAAGAUGAAUGUUAAUAUUUUUUAACAAAAAUUAACAUAAUGAAUUUAGAUGAUAGACGGAGGUAAAUUAAAGGACCAAAAAAGGGUGAAAAUUAAUAAGAGGACCAAAUCAAAAUUUCAUAAUUAUUUAAGGGACAAUUUGUAUAAUUAAGCAUAAUAAAUAAGCUUAAACGUUCCUAUGAUCUCCUAUUUUUUCAAAUAUAUGAUUUUAGUCCCUCAAUGUUUAAAUUCGAAAAGACAAUCUCCCAAUUUUUUAAUAUUUUUUACCAUUGAAUUUGAAGCUUAUUUUCACUGAUGUGUUAGUUAAAAUAAUGAACAGACAAGUCACUUGAUAAUGUGACAAUGAUUAUUUGUUGAGAAGUAUGAUUUCUUUAGGGUUUUUAAAUUUUCUUCAUUUUAAGUUUUUAUUUUUUAUUUUUUUGAUACAAAAGAGGGCGAACCCAAGAAGAAGGGAAAAAAAACUAGACUAAAUGGAUAUUCCUAAGCAUACAAGCCCCUGAAACAUCAUCAAAUAGGAGCUUUUGAAGUUCACUAGGAGGAGUCUCCAAAACAAACAAAUUCAAAUGAUCCUUAGUAAUGCUGAUGUUAGCAAGCCAAUCAAAACUUUUAUUUCCUUCACACGAAGUAUGGUUGAUUUGCACAUGCCAUCUCAUCUUCAGAAGCUAUUGGAUAUGUUGGUUGGACUAAAAUAGGGGAUAUUCCCGUUGAAAUGAAAAUUGUCAGAAAUCAUGUCAAUCAAAAUCUUUGAGCCGCUCUCCACUUUUAGAUGAGAAAAACGCUCUCUCCAAGCCAUGUCCAAUCUCAAAUACAACGCCCACAUCUCAGCUUGUAAGUUAUCACACGCACCAAUCUUCUUAGUGUAGUCUUUAAUCCAUCUACCUUCUGAGUCACGAAAGAGAUUCGCACAUCCAGCAAUCCCUCACCCAUCCUUGUACACGCCAUCACUAUUCAGCUUGAUCCAACCUUCGUGCCACUUCUUCCAUCCUAUGUAGAUAGUUUCCUUCAACUUAUGACCACUAUGAAGAUGUUCUAAGUUACAGUCCUCAAUAUCUUUGACGAAACGCUUAAUCAUUAAAUUUGGGUUGUUUGGCCUCUGAAAAUUAGCUUCAAAGAUAGUUUUGUUGCUUCACUUCCAUAGAUGCCAGCAAGUUGCCAUGAAGGUGGUAUGCCAAUUGGAGCUGCUCGUUCCAACCCCUUUUCUAUUGAGGUUAUUGAAAAUUCAAUCCCUGCAAUCAAAAGAAAAUAAAUUAUUUAUAAAAUCAGAAGGAACAAUAUGAAACCAUACUUGGGUUGCGUGAAUGCAGUCAUGAAUCACGUGAAUGACAUAGACAAUUGAACCAUCAAUACUUUCUUACAUAGCUUAGAAGCCCUCUAGAAGGGCUCAGACGCCCUCCAGAAGGGCUAUUGAGGUCCAGGCGCGUCCUCCUUAGGAUGCCCCUUCUUUAGCUUCUAGAAACCGUCGAAAAUACAUAAAUACCCCUGUUGCUUGGGAGCCAAGCAACCGAAACCCAAGUCCAUAGCCGGCUAUAAAUACUACUCUCGAGAUCAUUCACAUCCAAUAAUCAAUUCUAAAACCCUAGAAUACGAUGCUUAAUCCUAGAAUCUCUUAUUGUACUUUUUGCAAGUACAGUUGUGGGAAAAGGUAAAACUAACCUAGACCACAUCUCAAAACCCUAAUUUUGUGAAUCGUAAUCGAACAUCACUAUUCGGAAACAGCCACUGUUUCACUGCGAUAUCCAACCAAACUGAUCACGGUAGGCGUGAGGUCGUCCACUCAUCGCCUUCUUUCACCACCAUAGUUUUCACCACGCCUCCUUUCAACCAUCAUGAGAUCGUUCCUGCAUGGUUGUUUGGUCUGGUCGUUCAGAAAAAGCUCAAACAAAAGCUUCGAUCAAAACGUGUCUCAGGUUAUAUGCACGAGUCCAUCGUAUCGUUUCUUCAAUUAACCCUUUAUAUGCAUAUGAGGAAGACUAUAAUUGAAGGUUCUCAAAAACUGUUGCUUAUUAUUUUUAAAUUAGAAGUGGCAUGAUAUCGGUAAAACUAGAAGCUGCUAAUUUUGGAAAUUAUAAUAACAUGUGAUGGCUGAGAUCACUCUUGAAGAUACUAAUCGUUUGAGAAUCAAGACAAAAUUGUUUACUAGAUGUCCAUGGAAGACUAUACUUAUAAGAUUUUAUAACUUCAUAACUUUAUCGUUUCGACGAUUUAGUAGACGUGCACAAAAAAAUAUUCCAAGGAAUUAAUUAUUCCAAGGAACUUUUUUUCAACUGCACUACUCCAUUUUCAUUCCCAACAAAAAAGGAUGGGAAUAAGUAAUUCCCAACGGUUAACUCUCUCUCUUUUUUAAAAGGUCAUUUAUAACCUUUAAAUAACCGCAAGUCCACUAUACAUAUUAACCAAUAAAUGUGCCACAUAUGUCUUAUAUGAUAAGGGUGUUUUGAUAAUUAUAUAAUUUCUUUAAAUAAGUAUUCCCAAAAAAAUAAAUUAUCAACCAAAAAUUGUUAAACAUUCCUUAGAAUAAAAUUGACGUGUGAUAUUCCAAGAAAAAUCCAAUCCUGGGUAUAAUUUUUUUGUAACCUUUAACAAACGCCCCCUAAUUUAAAGAUUUGUCUAUCCCUCCUCCCAUCACAUGAUUUUGGAGCACGGUUGUUAUAUGCGUCGAAUGGAUAAUCCUUUUAUAUUAUUAUACGGUCUGAGAUAUUCUUAGCAUAUGGUUAUUGAGUCUCAAGUUCAUGUAGUAUUGCACUUGAAAUGUUUAUUACUACUAUUUAUAUAUAAGAAGUUGCUUCCUGUUACAGCAAGUUUUGUUUUUUGUUUAUUCAAAUACUCAAGUUGUAUAACUAUCCAAGUCAUUAACUCUUUUUUGCUUGAUGUGGUCGAUUAAUGAUGAUCAUCCCGGGGAUUUCAAGCGUGAGCAGUACCCAUCUCUGGUGAUACCUCUGGAAUCAGAGAAAUUGACGAAACAAGAUCUGACGAAGACUUCAACAAAGCGGCGUAAGGAUUGAUUUGAUGAGCAGGUUUUUUUUUUUUUUUUUUUCCUUUAUUAAUUCAUAGCAAUUUACAUUGCUGGUUAUCUUUUAAGAUAUACAAGAUAGGGGCCAAUCCCGCAUUUUUCAUCACUUCGCCUUGUCCCAAGACUCGUGCUUGGGGGACUGAAAACCGUCAUAAUAUUCCUAAAGGCUUAGAAGCCCUCUAGAAGGGCUUAGACGCCCUCCAGAAGGGCUAUUGAGGUCCAGGUGCGUCCUCCUUAGGACGCCGCCUUCCGUAGCUUCCAGAAACCGCCUAAAAUACGUAAAUACGCCUGUUGCUUGGGAGCCAAGCAACCGAAACCCAAGCCCAUAGCAGACUAUAAAUACUACUCUUGAGAUUAUUCUCAAAGCAUACAAUAUUCAGUUCUAAAACCCUAGAAUAUGAUUCUUAACCCUAGAAUCCCCUAUUGUACUUUUUGCAAGUACAACAAUAAUGUAUUACAAAAAAAAAUGACAUAGACAAUAAAAAAAGUUUGAUCUAAAUGUGCAUUGUCGGUACAAGUUGACAACUCGUUCAUUAUUCAACUUAGCAAGUGAAAUUAAACUCUUAAUUUGUGGAUGAGAGAAAUUUAUGAAAUCUUAUUUUGAAAGCUAUAUUUUCAACGGGAUUCUAAUCAUUGUGUUAGCGGUUGUGGUAUGAAGGAAACGGCUGAACAUUUUUUGAGUUGUAAUUAAUUUGACAAUAUGUGAUAUCUUAUUCAGAAUUGGAUUGUUAUCUCAUCGGUUGAUCUGCUUCAUUUAUCAGAUCACUUUCUUUAGUUUGUCAGAUGAGUGGAUCUUCAAAAGCUUUACGGCCUUUUUUUUUCGUUUUCGUGAGUUCGAGUGAUUUGAAAGAAAUAAAUAAUAGAAUUUUUAAUCAUGGGAAGAACAACAAUUGCUAGAUAAAAUUAAGUUUCUUUCUUUUAGUGGUUUAAUUUUCAAUGUAAACAUCGACAAUUGUGUAUUACUUGUUAUUCUUAUGAAAUAACAUCUAAAAAAAAUUAUCCCCUCUUUCUCGUGACUCAUUUGUAAAAAAUGUUAUCCUAAAAUGAAUGAUUUAUUUCAAUUUUUAAUACAAUAUUUUAAUUAUAUUUUUCUAAUUGUAUCAUUUAAUCUAAUUAAUAUUUUUUUUCAUCACUUGAACAAUGGUACUUUGGUAAAUAUAUUUCUCUCUUUCAUUUUUACUUUUUUUUUGUUAAACAAUACUCUGGUGGCUAUAAAUUCUCUUUUUAAGAUGAAUAAACGAGAAAUUCAGAGAUCAAACUCUAGCACAAGCAUAUUAAAAUCAUAUUGUCUCUAUUAUUUGAGUUAUACUAACGAAAACUUUAUACGUAUUUUUUAAUGUGUAAAAUGGUCAAAUAAAGCAUUCAUCGUGAGAAAGAGAGAGUAUAAGCUAAUGAAGAAGUUUUUUUACAAAACAUAUCUCAUUUGAUAAACCAAAGUUUAUAAUAGCUUAUGGGCAUUAGCAUACAACAAUUUUUUUCUUUAAACAGAUCAGUUAUUAUAGGACAACCAAAUAUAUUUGAUCCAUUUUUAAAAUCUGAAACUCAUUUCUUUCAAAAAAUAAAAAAAUUAAGAAUAUGAGUGUUUAAAAGAUGUUAAUGUCCAUAACACUCAUCUUACUUAUUUAAACUAAUAUCUCAAUCAAUAAAUGCAUAUGAUCAAUCCAAUUAUAUGAAUCAUACCGGUAUUAGGCCAAAAUCAUUAAUAAAUGAGCCUUCAAUCUACCAAUUAAUGCAUAUGAUCAAUUCAACCACGGGAAUCAGCCACCUAACUAGGCCAAAAUCAUUUGUGGACGAAUUGUCUAAUAUAAAUCUUUUAACAGAAAUGCUUAAAUGCACGACAGGCUUUGUCGUGUGACUUGCACGACUUUGUAUUUCAUUUAUUGCUAUUUAAUAUAUUUUUAUUUAUUUUAAUUAAAACUUAAUUAUAAAAAAGGGAGUGAAGCCACGUAUUGGUCGUGUGGUUUCGUGGGCAGGAAAUUGUCGUGUCCUUUAGCACUGCUCAUCUUUUAAAAAUGGUAUAGUGGAGAGCCUUGUCAUAUAGUAGUAGUUUUUUUUGUGAUGGUCGAUGUUUGAAUCCCACACUUUAGAUAUAUUAUGCAGUGUCCUUAUCAACUGAGUUAAGCUUAAGAUAACAUAUAAUUUUACUAAAGGUGAAUUUGUUUUUGUACAUAUAAAAAGUGAAUUUUAUAAUAAUAAAGUAAUUUUUUUUAAGAAUUGUAAGGUUCCAAGCCAUUAGGAUUUUUUUUUUAAGAAAAGCCAUUAGGAACAUGUUUUAGAGAGAUAUGAACUGAACAUUAAAAAUAAAUUUAGGGAUUAUGAUAAUUGUAUUGCAUAGGAGAGUUUAGACUAUCUUAACAACAAUUUCAACAAAAAAAUAAUCUUAAUAACAUCUUUUUUGUUAAUCCUAACGGUUAGAAUUCACUUUUAAAAGCGAAUACGUGGGAUGUUCGAACAACCCCUACAUAUAAUAAUGUAUUGUACUUGACAACUGAGUUAUACUCACGAGAAUAUCUUAUCAACUUUUUAUUGACAAGCGAAAUUUAUUUCUUAAGCAGUCGUACGCCUUGAAGUAAAUUAUUUGAGUCAAACAUAAAACAAUUUACAACAAAAAUUAGAAUAAAAAAGACACAAAAAAUUCCUUCAAAAACAAUAUUCAAGAUAACACAUUUUUCUAAUGUUAAGUACCAAAUCACAUACUACAACUUUAUUGCCUUAACUCGAUAAAACAUUCAACUAUUAAACCAAAGGUCCAAAAGAACAUAGCUUCAUAUAACUCAAGAGGAGUGACUAAGAGGAGAGUCGUGAUGUAAAGGAUGAACUUGAGCAUGGGUUGCAUGGAGGUGAAAUGAGGAUUUAGGAGUGUGAGUUGAUAAAUGGUGGUGAAGGUGGUGUUUGGAGGGUGUGGGUCCAGGGACUGCGUCACCUGGAGAAUCUGAAAUAGGAGGCUUAUAAUCAUCUAAGUGAAACUCAUGUUGAUCUUGAGAAAAUAUUGUUAUAGAGUUCAAUAAGAUAAGGAUUACUAUUGUUAGAGCUUUUACCAUUGUUGAAUAGACUUGUCGUUGUUGUUGUGUCUACAAGCUUAUUUAAUUUAUAGAUGAAAGGGUAAAGGCAAUUUAAUUAGUUUUGCAACGGUAUUUAGAAUUUGUAUAAUAAUGUGUGAUUCGGCAAAAUUGCAAAUAUAUCGACUGUUUUUUUUAUUAAAUAGUUUAGCGGUUAGAAUAUCACGUUUUUUAAGUGUGAAUAAUUGCAGAGUUGUCUUUCCUAAAAAAAAUAAGGUGUGGAAUUAUGGAUUUGAAUUUGCAUGCUUGCAAACGGAUGCUUAUCAACCGAGCUAUGCUAAUAGAAUAUGUUGACUAUUUAUUUUUAUUUUUAGGGUCCUGUUAACCGGUGCCCCCAAGGCACUGGUUAAGCAUACCAUAAAAGGGAAUUAUUACCAUAAAAGAAAAUUGUUUUUGACUUUAUUAUAAAUUAAUUACACAAUUUCAAUGCAUUAACUACUAUAUAAUUUCCUUUUUCAUAUCCUUAACAAGUACUUCGGAGGCACCAGUUAGCAUUUCCCUUAUUUUUAUUAGGGGAAGAAAUUGAUACUAUUUCAUUAGAUAAUAAGUCAUUAAUACAUAUGAUUGUACAUCAAUAAACAAUUUGAGCUAGAGUUCAAUGGAACUGCAUAUGCUUAUUUAUAAGUGAUCACAUUUGUUUGUCUUUGGCUAAACUCAACCACAAAAUUGUGAUCACAUUUGCUUGUCUUCGGCUAAACUCAACCACAAAAUUGUGAAAAGAAUUGUUAAACCAAACUCAGAAUGGUGAAUACUUCCACCAUUGAAAGUGUCUUCUUGUUUUUGUUUUGUAGUAGUCGGGGUUUGAACUCCGGACCUUGCAUAUAUUAUGAAUUAUUCCUACAAACUAAACUAAGAUCACGAUGACACCAUUGAUUGAAAGUGACUAACACUCUUUAAAAUCAAAUAAGAAGUCCAUACCAUCAAAAUCUAAUUUAGCUACCCACUUUAGCGCAUGUGAAUAUUUUUUUGAGUAGUGAUAUUUGAACAACUCUUUUGAUACAACUUUUGGGACAACCUUGUUGUGUUCUUUUCUUAUUGGUCAAAAUCAAUAUAGAGAGAGAGAGAGAGAGAGAGAGAGAGAGAGAGAGAAAGGAAGAGAGAGAAUAAGAAAAUAAUGUGAGUAUGAGAGAGAAGGUUGUACGAAAGUUGUACAAGAAUGGUUGUACAAAUAUCAUUUCUCUAUUUUUUUAUAAGCUUGAAAAUAUAUUUAGAUGAGUGAAUUCUAUCAUAGAUGAUGCUUAAGAGCUUUAUAUAUCCCUUUCUCUGUGGGUUACAUUUUAAUGAGAUCAGAAAAUGCUUACAUUUAGCCAUUCCUUAUUUAUUAGACGAAAAAACGGUUAUUAAGUGCAACUCUAAAGUCAUAUAAACGUUGCAUUUUCACAAAAGCCGUGGAGAUUUUUUUCUUAUAAAUAUUUAUGAGAAGAAUGUUGGAACAAAAUAUGUUUAACAAUAAUAAGGUAUUAAAAAGUCUUAAUUGAUCUGUCGGUCUCUUAACUUAUUUUUUUUAUUCAAUUUGAUCUCAUAAGUCUUAACUUUCUCAAACACGUCCUUUAACUUAUUUCUUUUAUUUAAUUUGAUUCAAUUUUGAUAAUUUUAAUCCCAUAUAAAAAAAGACCGUUUGAUUACGGAGGUCUAUCAGAUUUUACGACACCUAGUUUAUUUACUUUCUUCUUCUUCCCUCAUCUUCAUCUACAUUCAUCCUUCAUCAAUAUUCAUCAACAAAAUCCAUGAAAAAACCAUACCCAUAAUCACUCACUCACCGUCACCAAAGCACAUUCCAACAACAACUUUAACAUUCAACAUUGUUCAAACAAAAACCAUUUCUAAUCCAAUCUCAAUCCAAACCUCUAUUUCCAACAACAACAUCAACAAUUUCUUCAUGGUCAAUAAUAACUGCAACAUCAACAACCUUCAUCAAUAUAAAUCCAGAAAAACCCAGAAAAUAAACAAUGAAUAAAAAACGAUGAAUUCAACGAAUUUAGGUUUUGCAAUUCAACGAAUCUGGGUUUUGGAAUUCAACGAAUUUUGAAAAACUGAUUAAACGAUGAUUUUUGCAUUUUGAAUCUGGGUUUUGCAAUUUCGAAUUUCAGAUUGCAAAAACGAUGAGUUUCUAUUUGAGUUCUUGUUGUAAAUUUCGAAUCUGAGUUCUUGUUUGUGAAUUUCAGAUUGCAAAACGAUGAAUCUGGGUUUUACAAUUUCGAAUCUUGUCUGAAAGUGAUGAAUUCCUAAAUCUAUCUUCUUCCUUCUUCAAAUUCGGAUACUAAGAGGGAAAAAUUCAAUUGAGGUUGUUGUUGAUGUUUCUAGGUUGAGUUUUGUUGUAUUUGGAAUGUUUAAGGUCUGUGGGUGGUUUGAGAAAAUUGAAAUAGACAGAGGAGGAAGAGGAGUAUGAACCAUAAAGGUUGGGAUUUGAUUUUACUCAUGUUUAUGAAUUCAUGUUGUAGUUAAGAAUGGUGUCUCUAAAUAAGAAACUAGAGCGUGUCUCUAAAGGUACCAUGAUGGUUGAUCCGACACCGGCGCAUGAUGAAGUUGUGUAUGAGGAGGGUUUUGUUGGAUAUAAUCGGAUGGAGGAGGAUAGAAUGUUUUAUCAGCCGCAGGACGAGGCAUAGGAUAAGGAGGUGGCAGGUGAUGAGGAGGUGCCAGAGGAUGUUGUAGCGGGUUAUCUUGAGGUAGAGAAUGUUAUUCAUGAGGGUGAGCCUGAGCCUGAGACUCAGCGACGACGUCGUCAUAUUCCACCGAUACCGGCAUAUCCUGUUGGAGAGCCUCCCUAUCCUGGAGGACCUAAGACCACGUCACUGUUUUCCGACUACGCGAGGCACGUGGCGAACCCUCUUUGGGUGAACCAUCAUAAUGUAAGUGUUUAAAUUGUUUAAAAUUCUUUAAAUGCUUUAAAGUGAUUAUUUAAAAGAAUGUAGCGUAAAUGUUUUAAUUAUUUAAAAGAAUUUAGCAGAAGUGUUUUAAUUAUUUAAUAUUAUGUAGCGUAAAUGUUUUAAUUAUAUAAAAGAAUGUAGUGUUACUGUUUUAAUUAUAUAAUAUUAUGUAGCGUAAGUGUUUUAAUUAUAUAAUAUCAUGUAGCGUAAAUGUUUUAAUUAUUUAAAAGAAUGUAGCGUUAGAGUUUUAAUUAUUUAAAAGAAUGUAGCGUAAGUGUUUUAAUUAUAUAAUAUUAUUUAGCGUAAGUGUUUUAAUUAUUUAAAAGAAUGUAGUGUUAGUGUUUUAAUUAUUUAAAAGAAUGUAGCGUAAGUAUUUUAAUUAUAUAAUAUUAUGAAGCGUAAGUGUUUUAAUUAUUUAAAAGAAUGUAGCGUAAGUGUUUUAAUUAUUUAAUAUUAUGUAGCAUAAGUGUUUUAAUUAUGUAAAAUAGUGACAGUGUCUUAAUUAAUUUGAAUUUCAGAUGUGGCAUGAUCAGACGGGUUACAAGUGUAUAAAUGCAGGGAAAAAGAUGAAAGAGCUUGGUAAGCCGGAGGCGGGUUUGAGGGGUUUUGGGAGCCUGUGGAGGGGUCUGGCCUACAUGAUUUGGUAAACACGAGAUAUUCUAGUGUCACCCAUGCCAUGAUACGUGCUAUGUGCGAGAGAUGGCACAUGGAGACCAGUAGUUUUCAUCUACCUGUAGGGGAGAUGACGAUCACUUUGGACGAUGUGCAUAAUCUCCUACACAUUCCUAUUCACGGCCGCAUGCUAGACCACGACGAGGAAAUGGGUCAGGAGCGUGCACUUGAUUUGAUGACCAGGUUGUUAGGCGUGUCAAAUGUUGAUGUUAGGGCUGAGAUUAGGAGUGAGUCUGCUGAUCGUAUCAGUUAUGCCACACUGAAGCGGGUUUAUGAAGACCACCUGACAGAGGCUAGACGGCUGGAGGACCCACAGACGAUGGAGGAGCUGCAGGAGGAUGGUGUGGUGUGUGAGGAGUUUCCUUCUAUAUCUCGUCGGUUGUGCGUUGUUCACUAACAAAACGAACAGACACAUCGACUUGAUAUAUCUUGAUUGUAUGACGGACUUGCAGGCGAUUGGGAAGUGGUCAGGGGAGGGAUGGCCCUAGCUUACAUGUACGACUAUCUAGAUGAUUAUGUUAUUUUGAGUAACAGAACGAUGGCUGGGAGUACCACUCUUUUUAUGGUAAUAAUUUAAUAUUUAUCUUCAUUUCUUUAUGAAUUUAUUUUAUAAUUUUUAUUAUCAUGUUAGAUUAUUUUUUCCUAAGUUAGACUACAUUUAUUUAGGAUUUUAUUUAAAUAUUUAUGUGAAGCUUUUAUAAUGUAUUUUAUUUAUUUGUUGCAGGGAUGAAUUUUGGAGCAUUUACCAGGUCCGUACCCAAGGAAGAAAAACAAGAGCUGGAAGCCGGAGAGACCAUGUGCUGGGAGAUGGCUUACUAGCAGAGGGCAUACUGAUGUGCACCAUUACCGCUUACUACUUGAUCGCUUAGUGGUGGAUGACGUCAGGUUUUUUACUUAUGGUGAUCACAGAGAGAUACGCCAUUCUCAGCUUAUUGUCACUUACUCGGGAUGGCUAGUGUGCGGGAAGGAGAGGGUGUACCGUCAUUUACCUGAGCGGGUAAAGAGGCAGCUUUUCUAUGUACAGGAUGUUCCUAGACAUCCGUCAUCUGUCGCGCAUAUGCCUACGCAUUUGUUGACCACCGUGCUGCAAAACGAUCAGGCGUGGUUCUUCACUGCUUGGGGAGAUGCGUGUGAGAGACCAUGGCAUCAUGCGCCUGGCUACAUGGCUUGGUAUGCCAAAGUCUCUCACCCUCGUAUUCUCCCACCUGAUGAAGGAUCUCCUCCCAGGCCGACGAACGUGGAGCAGAUCAUAGAGGAGGAGCAUGCCAGAGAGAUGCCUGACACACUAACGAUCAUCCGAGAUGUGGAGUGUAACACCCCGUUUUCCCAACAUAAAAAUUUCAUUUAAAUAAUCAGAGUAAUCAUCAGCAACGAAAUGUUACACUUCUUUUCUUAAAAUCAUAAAUGGAAUAAUUAACUAAUUAUCCUUGAAAAUUCAACCAACAUAAUGAUUAAUACUUCGCAGCGGAAUUUAUUCAUCAUGUAAAACAUUCUUUGGCACGAAGGCCUCAUUAUAAAUAUCUCAUAAAAAUCCAAUCUAAAAACAUAGUUAUAAACUUCAUAAAGUAAUACGUAAGGAAUAGAAAAUAGCAACAAAGUCCCAUCUCAUUACGUAUCAGAGCACCUAAAGACACACGUGAGAGAUAGUCCACUCACGACAGCAAUCUAACAGCAGCUUAAACUCAAUCACCUGCAAGUUACUCAUACGAAGAGCAACAUUUCCAUGCAGAAGGGGUGAGAUUUCACAAACAAUAAUAUUAAGCAUAUAAUUCAUCAAUUAUAUUUAACAACAUAAAGAGAUCAUAAUUUCAUCAUAGAUAAUCAUAUAACACUUCAUUAACAACUUCAUGUAAAGGGAACAACUCAACAACUUGACAACUUGACUAUGCAACUUAAUCUUCUAAUGCAUAUGGUACCAAUCCAGGGCAUCAAACCCUCAACGUAAUUGAGCAUUAAUAUACUCCCAGGGCAUCAAGCCCUCAACUUAAUUGAGCAAAGGCUUCAGGGCAUCAAGCCCCCAACAUGAAUGAGUAUGCAUGGACUCAACAACUUACAUCUUAGAAACAUCGACAUCUUAUAUAACUCCAAUAAUUUGGAACAACUUCUUACAUCAUAGACCGACUCAUGCAGCUUAGUUAAUAAACAACAGCAACAUAGGCAGUGCAUAAACAUCUCAGGAUAUAACAAUAUCAAAUAAUAAUCAACAAUACUUAAACAUCUUAUCUAAUCCACAUAAUGCAUAUACAAAUAUAUCACCUUUCUAUCAACAUUAGAUCAUGUAAUAACAAAUUCACAGAACAUCAGUAAUAUUAUAUUCAACCUCCAUUCCUACCCCAAGGAUCAACUCAUAACAUCUCCUACGACAAAGAUCGCAAAACCCUAAACAAGGCAGUCUGUCUUACAAGAGCUCGCGAGGCGAGUGUCAUUACUCGCUAUGGCGAGUUCAGGAAAAUUGGUUGUUCGCCUUGGCGAGUAGGCUACUCGCCUUGGCGAACUCAAAAUGGGUGCUCUCGGGAACUUGACAUUUUUCACUCCCAAAUCCCAUUUUUAACUUCCCAGAGUUCAAUUUCAAUCUAAAAUCUUACCUAGUCAUUCUUAAACAUGUUCAGGCACUCGAAAUCAUCUAAAGUUCGAUUAAAGGAGUUAAUUCUCAAAAUCAGGUUGACACACUUAUCAACUCGCCAUGGCGAGUGAUCUGCUCGCUAUGGCGAGAUGCAAGGUGCAACUUGCGAGGCGAAAGGAAUUGCUCGCGAGGCGAGCGAUGAAGAUCAUCCCUCGCGAGGCGAGGAUUAUCACUCGCGAGGGCGAGCGAUGAAUUCAGGCUCGGGCAGAAUGUAGUUUUCUACAAAAAUUCACCUAAUCACAUGGUUCAAAGCUUAAAACUGAUUCUAAACAUCACCCUAUGGAUUAUCUAAGGUCUGUAUACACUUUCUACAUCAAUUCAGCAAUUCUACAUCAUCUAUCCAUCAAUUCACACUCUUAACCCUAAUUUUCCAAUUCUCAAAACUAAACCUACAACUUGUUAAAUUUAAUCAUCAGAAUUACAGACUUAAGAGAAUUGAAUGUUAGUCUCACCCUUACCUUAACAAAUCGAAAUCGCAGCUUUCUCUAGGUUUCUCCCUUCUCUUAACUUUUCUCCCUUUUCUCCAAAACUGAACGUACGUGAAAACUAUUCUGACUUAGGUUUUUCUCCUAUUUAUCUCUUCCCAUCUACUUUAUCUUAUUUCCUCUUUUUUCCACAAAACUCUCUAAAAUCUCAAAACAACCCCUCAUCUCAAUAUUUAUUUUAUUUUCAAAUCUUAUUCUAUUAAAUAAUAACAUAAGCCACUUAGUAAAUCACAUAAUCUUAUAAAUAUAUUCUAGACUCAUUAAAAUAAUCAAAUAAAUCAAAUAAUUCAAAGAGGGCGUUACAUGGUGCAUAUAGCUGACGAUAUUGUGGCCAGGCAAUCCGAGAUGACUAAAGAGGAGAUUGUCCAGGAGGUGAUGUGGAUAGCCAGUACUGGUUGCCCUGCCCUUACGUAUCAGAUUACCCGGCGACGCAGGGGGCCGAGGCAUGCUAGUCAGCAGGGUUGAUUAUGAUUAGGCUUUUUAUAUGUACUUUUUGACUUGAUCAUGGUGAUGUAUAAUUAUGACAUGUUCCAUACAUUUUUUUAUUUCUAUGACAUUUUUCGACAUACAUUUUAUAUUAUUUCUUGCGUUUUAAUUUUAUCUGUGAAAUAUUAUUUUUUACGUUUUAUAUUCUUUACUUUAAUUUGCAAUUGGAUGCAAAAAGAGGACAAAUUUCCUGGAAAAACCAGUGCAGUCUGCACUGGUCUUGUUUACUGGUGUGAACAUCAGUUAACUGCCGCUGGUGCCAGCGGUUGUUAACUGCUGGCGUAUCUUGGAGCGGUUGUUAAUUGCCGCUAUGGGCAAUUGAGUAAUUUACUUGUGUCAAUAGAAAGUUUUCAUUGUCAGAAAAGCAAUAGCAUGUUAAAUGGGCCGGUUCAACGGAUUGAGCCCGUUUUGCCACCCCUAAUAUUUUUUUUAUUAUAUCUUUAAAAUAUUAUAUUAAUUUAUAGUGAUUUUCAAUAUUAUCAUAACUUUUAUAAAAUUAUUUAUCAAACAACUUUCAAAUUAAGAAUUUAUUGAAGUUUUUUUUUAAAAACGAAAUCACUGAACCAAUUCCUAAUAAUGACAGGUUUAUAAACAUAUUUUUAGUUUUUAAAAAAGUUGGGUCAAACUGUACCUAAAUCAUAGAAUAUUCACACUGUUACCAUGUUUACUAACACACUUUUUCUUUAUGUUAAUGAAAAUCUAAUUUUAAUAUAAACAUUUCAUCAAUAGUAUUAUAAAUCAUGUAAACGACCGAUUUUGUUUCAAAUCAACACUGAAUAAUUCACAUAUGAACACUAGUUUUGAGAACGGUGAAUCCAUACCAACUUUAACAAUAAACAUCAACAUAAACACUUUUAAACCAAAAUUGAUGAGAGUAUCAUAAUGAUUCAGAUAUUUUAUGAUUUAGAAAAACUUAUUAUUAUCAUACAACUUAAAGGACCGCAAAUGAUAUUUAACUAAAUAAGUAAAAAAAAAAAAAAAACAGUAUUUUUUUUUAGCAUUAAUGUAAUUUGAGUUGAGUUGUUAGUUUUAAAUUUGUGUUAGAAUUUCCUUUUUUUUAAGGGGUGUUAAAAUCUCAUUUAUAAUAGAAUAUUCAUGUAUGAUUUGUUGAAUCUGAAAUAAUUGUAAGUAAUAUGGUACAUCAAUAUUCAUUAUUAAUGUAAUUAAGACAAAAUAAUUUACAUGAUACCGCAGUAUAUUAUGCCAAGAGCACUGCUAGCAUCAGUCGCUUCCUCAGUUGCUUUUCAACACUUUCCCGUACAAAUCACCACGUCACCUUAUUUUUCAACGCCUUUACUUGUUACCGGAUGAAUAGGUUGAGUUGCUAACUGCUUCAAUUGCAUUUAUUUUUUUUAUUUUAUUUCACUACUCUUUUUUGUUUUUUUCCGUUGAAGAAUUCAACACCACUUUUCACCUCAUAUAAAGACAAAAAAAUCAUUUUAAUUCUUUCCCACCUUAACGAGGAAAAAUCUGAAACACCUAGCUACCAUUUUAUUUUCUCCACACUCAUAAUCAGUACCCAAAAAAAAUUAAAACCAACCACUUUUUAGUGGUCCACGUGAUACACAGUCUAAUACUGUUAAAAUAAGAUUUAACAGGGUACUCUAUUCUUGUUAAAAAAAAAACAGGGUACUCAAUCAUAAACACACACCUUCUGUCAUAUAUUACAUGCAUAUAACAGUAUACCUCACGAACAAAAAUUGGAGCCACUCUAGUAGAUUUUGAUUGACCAUCAUCUGCUACAGCAGAAUUAAAAAAUCCAACAAGAGUUCAAAGGAUGAUAAAUAUGCUUUCCAUUUUAUUUUAACGAGAUAAAUAUGCACAGCCAAAAUAGUCAUAAAUCAUAAUAGGAUAACAAAUGUAAUAUAGGAUCCAAUCCUUUAACACAACAAAACUAUAAAGUUAAACCAAUGAAAACAUCUUUUAGUCUAAAAUGAAACAUAAACAAGCUUAUAUAAACUUAGGAGAGUACUGUUGAGUAAAACUAAAAAUUUAAAAUAAAUAUCUUAAAGAUUCUUCAACUCCUUGAACUCUAUUGUUUUGCCUGACAGAUGAACAGAAAAUGGGAGAUAAUUAACAGGGUACUCAAUGUGCAGCCACUUAAUAUGAAAUCUAUAAAGUCACCUACAUAAUAUGAACUUUUAUACCAUUGAUAUUGAUGCAGCGACAACUUCAUCAGUGACAAAUAUUGCUUCUUUUUCAACGAUUGCAGCCUUCAUUUCACAUAAUCACAGAACAAAAAUCACAACAAUCAGAAAUCAUGUUAAAUAAUAAUAUGUUAAGAAGUUUGAUAAAAUAAUAAAUUCCAACCUUUUUCACGCUACCAGUAGAUUUUCUCUUUCGACCUCUUUCAAUGCCGCUCUUUAUUCUUUUUCGGUGCCCCUUUUGUUUUUGAAUCUUGAGGAUCAAGUAGUUUCUUGUCAAGCAAAGUGCUCUUCCUGCUAUUUUCUUGGCUAUUUUUUAAGGAUCGGUUAAGGAAUGCACAUUGUUUCAAGGCCUCUUCCAGUGCAUGACAUGCAAAGUUAUAACUCUCAUUAGUUAAUGAUCCUUCCUCCAACAAUUGAGAGGCCUUUGGAUACAAACGAUCAUAUCUCUCUUUCUUCGAACAAAUAUCUUCAUUAACUUUUCUUUUAUGAUGCCGACUUCUGAUAUCCUUUGUCCAUCUUUUCAAUAUGUAGUGUGAUGGGACAGCAAAGAUACCACUAUAUUGGAGGGCCAUCAAUGAAUGUCUACAAAGAUACCCAUUAUACUCAAACAAACAACAUAUGCAAGAAAUUUUCUCUUUCGAUGCAUCCCACUCUACAACAAAUUCUUCCCUAUUUCCAAAGUCGAAUAUUGUAAAAGAGGUGAGCUGACUAUCUUCAUUCCUUUUCUUAAGAUGACAUCCAGAUAAUCCCAUAAUUUCAACUUGGAACUUUUUGAAUACUUCAUGCGUAUAAAUCAUUGACAUUUGCUUCUCAAAAGGUGAUGGAGUUUUAAGAACUGGUUGUUUAUGCCAUGUAUUAAAAUCAGCAUGCAUUUCUGCUUCUUCCCUAUCUUGCAAAGCAACUUCAUAUUUUUCAACAAAUUCUUUCAAUGUAGUUUUCUUGCCUACAUAUUUGUCAAAAAAAGAGUUGAUGCUCUCUGAUCUUUGAGUUGUUGACAUGCCACCGAAAAAGGUAUCUUUCAUGUAAACAGGAACCCAAUGUUUACGUUCUUCAUAUAAAGACUGAAUCCACCCAUCCUCUGAGUUUGAUAGUUGAAAUUUCUCUACCAUUUCUGCCCAAUUAACUUCAAACUGUUGUAUUGACAGAGACUUGUAUAUGCAUGCAUCAAAAUAUCCCAUGAAAUCUUCAUUAUUUCUUAUUACAUGACCAAGCUUCUCAGGCACCUUUCUAAGUAUAUGCCAAAGACAAAAACGAUGUUGGGUAUUUGGAAAUACCUCUUCAAUAGCCACUUUCAUUGCUCUGUCUUGGUCAGUUAUCAUUGCAUUUGGAGGUUUCCCACCCAUUGCCUUAAGCCAUGUUUUCAUCAACCAUUUGAAACUCUCAGAGGUCUCAUUUGCUAGUAAUGCACAACCGAGUAAUCUUGACUGAAAGUGAUUAUUCACACCAAUGAAUGGAGCAAAUGGCAUUUUAUAUUUGUUUGUGAUAUAUGUAGUAUCAAAGGAAAUCACAUCUCCAAACACUUUAUAAUCAUCUCUACCCUUUCCAUCCACCCAAAAUACAUUUUUUACACGACCAUCAUCAUCCAAAUCAAAUGCAUAAAAGAAUCUUGAAUUUUCUUCUUGCAUACGCAUAAAAUACUACAGCAUUGCCUUUGCAUCUCCUGAUUCUAAAUUCAAACGACGGUCCUUAUCUAAAUAAUUUCUAACAUCUUUCUCCAAGCAACCAACUUUCUCAUAUCUUCCGUGUUGUUUGGCCAUUGUGGCAAAGAUUUUGCUUGUUCUCACUCCAACAUGUUGCAAAGUUUCAAUACAAUUCUGUUGAGCUUUAUUGAUUGUUCUAUGGCAUGGAAAAUAAUGUGCAUAUGUUGGAAAAAGUUCAUGAUUGUGAUCUUUGAUGAAGCCAUGGACCACCCAUUUUCCAUCACAUCUUCUUUUAAUAUGUAAGCCAGCCUCACAUUCCACCUUCAAACAAGGACGUGGAUUUUGUGCGGUCGACUCUCGUUUUUUCCCAUAUCUUGUGCAAGCAUAUUUCACAUCAAUAAAUUGUCUAGAAAUUUUUGAACGGCGACUGCUUUUAAUGGAUACACCAAAUCCGACACAUUUAGCAUAUCGAACAUAGAAAGAAUAAGCAUCUUCCUGUGACUCAAAUUCCAUUCCAAGAGAAGGUUGUUCAAAAUUGUUAGCAUCUAAAUCACCAACAUAUGAAUCACUAUUGACGGUCUCAUUUAUAACAUGCUCUUCGUUUUCAUCAAUGGGUUCCAUUAAUUCCUAAUAUAUGUAUAAAAAUAGUUACAACUAAUUAUCAAUACAUGUUGAACAAACAUAAAAAACUCAAUAAAAUAUUUUCAAAGACAAAGUGAUAGUACCAAAUUCAUGUUUUUUAAUACAGGGGAAUCACAUGCAUUGACAAAGAGGAGAGCAAAAACGUACCUUAAAAAGUGAAAUACUCUUACUCUUUUGUUGGAAUUGUGAGAGAAAAACACCAAGAAGUGACAGAGUGGUGGUGCUUAUCCUUUGGGGACUUUCUGCAUGAAACAGUGGCAGAAUGGCAGAGCUUCUGAUAGUUGAAACAACGAUGUGUGAGAUAAGGAAAGAGAUAUUCUUAGGCGCGGGAAAAUGCCUUGUUGUUUGGGAUAUCCAUUAAAAAAAAAAAAACAAUUAAAUGUGUUGAUUUUGGUGAACCGGUAACCAAGUCAAAAGUUAAAAGAAUAGUAUGACGUGGACCACUAAAAGAGGGAGUGCUUAACGAGAGUGUCAAAGCGCCUGAUGCUAGCAUUACUCAUUAUGCCAAAAUCAUUAAUAAAUGAGCGUUCAAUCAACUAGGCCAAAAUGACUGUCGACGAAUAUCAAUUGAACACAAUAUUUUUUUGAAAGGAUCAAUUGUAAAUCAAUCUCGAUAUAUUAUUACUUACAAUAUAUUUUUAUGAGUGAAGAAGUAGUUUUGAGUUAAGAAUAUCGUCGAGAUACUAAUUAUUGUAUUUCAGAAAGCUUUUAGACCGUGUUUAACAACAUUUAGCGAUGAACAAAAUCUCUUCCAUAAGCAAUCGUACGUUAUACAAGAUAAAUUACUUGAAGACAAUAAUUAGUCAUUCACAAAAUUAGAAUUAAAAAAGAUAUCGAAGACAAUCCAUGCAUUUAUUAAUUUUAUUGUUGGUAAUUGAAGUACAAAAUAACAUACUAUAACUUUAUUGCAUCAUCCUCCAUAAUAUACUCAACAAUUAAACCAAAGGUGCAAAAUAACAUAGCUUAAUUUAACUUUGGAAAGAAAAAAAAAUAACGUGAAUGACAACAAGAGAGUCAUGGAUGUAAAGGAUGAAUUGUGGAGCAUGGGUUGCAUGGAGAUUAGGUUGAUGGUGGUUGUGGUGGUGGGUAGGUAUUGAUGGUGUUAGAGAUGGUGAAAUCUAAAGGAUGAAUUAUGGAGCAACCUAUGCAUGGACCUGGUUUAUUUGGCUUAGGAGGACCAUAAUCAUCCAAAUCUAAAGAAUGAACUGUGGAGCAUCCUAUGCAUGGACCUGGUUUAUUUGGCUUGGGAGGACCAUAAUCAUCCAAGUGAAACUCUUGAUGAUCUUGGGAAAAUAUCGUUAAGGAGUUCAUCAAGAUAAGGAUUAAUAUUGCUAGUGCUUUGGCCAUUGUUGAAAAGAGUGACUUGUUGGUUUGUGUAUUUACAAGCUUGGGAGGACUAGGUUAUUUAUAGGAGACAAGGUUUUACAACUUUCUCUCAUCCAAUUUACACUUUAAAUCAGAAUUACAAAUUUUCUUUUUUUUUUUGGUCAAGUCAAAUUUUCUAUUAUUAGAAAUUAUAUAAUAGGGUAAAAGAAAAAAGAAAUUGUAUAAUUUUUUUUAGAAUAAAGAAAUUGUAUAACUUAUGUAUUUUAGAAAAGAUCAAUUCAUAAACACACUGUUAUUAUUAUUUCUUUUUUUGAGGAAAUCUUGCCUUAUAUGAGUAUUAUUUUUUGAAUAAAUCUUACAUUUUAUGAAGACUGAUAUAAUCAAAAUAAUUAAAACAUAAUUGUAAUUAAAUCUUAUUAAUUGUAAUACUAGUAUAGUUUUUGUUUUAUUUUUUGUGAUGCUAGCUAGUAUAGUAUUUUACAGCUUUAUGCACCCAUAGCAAUCUUUUCAAAAAUUAAUCUCUACAUUCAGUUGCACGUAAAUGAUCACUAAUUCACACCCACACAUAAAAAGACAUGUGCUAAAUAGGGGAUGACUCUUUCAAAUUAAAAUAUUUUUACUCACUAUGUUUUUACUUGUGUAAUAAUAGGUCACUCUUUGAAUAAUCUUGUUAUUUAUGACACAUUACCUGUUAGAGCAGCGUAUGUGUAAAAUAGACUAGACUAGACAUGCCUAGUUUUAGACAUAGGUUAUGAUGGGAGACUUCUUUACGUCUUCUACUGAAGGAGAUUUAAUUUUUUUUUUUAAAAUGGAUGUCAACUAUUAGAUAUAUUGAAAAGAUUUUGAAUGGUUGAGAUUUACACGUUAUUUGACCAACUAAAAUUUUAUUUUUUAAACAAUAUAUUGAUUUAAAAAAAUCCAAUUGAUUUUAGAAUUACAUUUAACAAAGGUUGUUGUUGGCAAUGUUGAAAAAAUUUUAAAAAAUCCCACCAUGCUCAUACGCCUUUGAUUAAUUACGAUUUAGUUUUAAUGAUAAUAACUAUAUAAUUAUAAAUAAAAAUAAUAUUAGUAAUUACAUAUUAUGUUUUAUUAUAGAACAUUAUGGUGUCCUCAUGAGCUUUACUCAGUUGGUAAGGACAAUGCAUAAUAUAUGCAAGGUUGGGUGUUCAAACUCCGCCACGACCAAAAAAAUAAAAUAAAUAGAGCAUUAUGGUAUUUUUAAAUAGAGUUAAAUAUGUUUUUGAUACUUAUAAAUAUACCAACUUUUCAUUUUAAUUCCUCUAAAAUUAUUCUUCAAUUUUUAGUCCCUAUAAAAUUUUAAAUCACCACUUUUGAUCCUUAUUUUUAAGUCAAUUAUGUGUAGCAUCAGUAUUUGUUAACGAAAUUGUGUAGAAUAUUAUAAAUAUCUCUCCAAAGAAAAGUAUAGCUUUUAAACAAAACAUGAAUUACGUAUGAAUUUUUAAUUGCCAAAAAAAGUAAAAAUUCAUAUUUAACUCAUGUUUUGUUAAAAUAAUAUAAUUUUAGAGGGACUCAAGAAAAAUUGGUAUAUUUAUAGGAAACAAAAACAUACCUAAAAAAAAGGGAACAAAAACAUAUUUAACCCUUUAAAAUAGUAAUAAUAAUUAGACUUGACAUGUUGUGUAUAAACUAAUUGUAUUAGUCAUUAAAUCAGUCCAUGUGGUAUUGCAGCGACAUUAUCUAUUAGAGUCACUUGACGGGAAAGACAAAAAAUGGAGACGGAAAAUUUUAAAGGAACCAAAUUUGAUGAAAUUUUUUAGAGGGGUCAUAAAGAAAAGUUGUGAUAUCAAAGGGGUCGUGGCCGUAGAGAAAGAUUAUGAUGAUCUUAUUAAGACUAACUUUCGUUCUACGAGAAUCUUCUUAAGAACUAAGAUUUUUAUCUAAGAUAAUCUUAUUAAGACUAACUUCCAUUCUAUGAAAAUCAUCAAAAGAAAUAAGAUUCUUAUAUAUGAUAAUUCUAUUAAGACUAACUUUUAUUCUAUGUUAAUCUUCUCAACAAUUAAGAUUUUUACCUGUGACAAUCUUACUAAGACUAACUUCCAUUUUAUGAGAAUUUUUCCAACAACUAAGAUUCUACCUAUGUCAAUCUUACUGAGACUAACUUAUGUUAUAUGAGAAUCUUCUCAACAACUAAGAUUCUAAUAACCAAUGAUAAUCUUACUAAUACCACUUUAUGUUCUAUGACAAUCCUGCCAACAACUAAGAUUCUUACCAAUAGAUACAUAAAAAUUAUAUCAUAUCGACUUUCUCAUAUUAAUACAAAAAAAUUUUCUUUUGCAAAUAGAUGCACAUAAAUCCGCAAGUAAUGCGAAUAUUGAACGGUGCUUUUCAAAAUUACCCUCAACUUUCAAUAAAAUAGCAAAUUUCGAAUGUAAUUAAUAUUUGUUUUAUAUUUUUAAUAACUAUUAUCCACUUUAUUCCAAACAAAAAAAAAAGACUAUUACCCACUACAAUAGGUAAUACAUACUACAUAAACAUACAAUUAAGAAAUCUUUCAUAUACUAACUUUCUGUCCGAUGAGAAUCUUUUAAACACUGAUCAUCAUUUUAUGAGAAUAUUUCAAAGACUAACUCUAUUUCUAUGAGAAUCUUUCAAAGACUAACUUCUGUUUUAUGAAAAUCUUUCAAAGACUAACUUAUAUUCUAUGAGAAUCUUCUAAAGACUAAAUCCUGUUCUAUAAGAAUCAUUCAAAGGCUAACUUUCGUUCUAUGAGAAUCUUCUAAAGACUAACCUCUCUUUCUAUGAGAAUCUUUCAAAGAUUAACUAUCAUUCUAUGAAAAUCUUUCAAAGACUAACUUCCGUUCUAUGAGAAUCUUCUAAAGACUAACUUCCGUUCUAUAAGAAUUAUUCAAAGACUAACUUCUGUUCUAUGAUAAUUUUCUAAAGACUAACCUCUCAUUCUAUGAGAACCUUUCAAAGACUAACUAUCAUUCUAUGAGAAUCUUUUAAAGAUAAACAUUUAUCCUGUGAAAAUUUUCUAAAAACUAACUUCUGUUGUCCGAGACUCUUCCAAAGACAUGCUAUCAUUAUAUGUGAAUUUUCCAAGGAUUGGAAUGUUGGCAUAAUUUUUUUUUAAUUAGAAUUAAUGUAAUUUAAAAUUUAAAUUUAGUUGUAAAAGUUAAUAAUUUUUUCACCAGAAAUUCUGUGUUUAGAUAUUGCUUUCCAUAUGUUAUUCUAUCAUAAUAAUUUGUCAAAAUUAAUGGUGUUAAGUGAUUAAUAAUCAAUUAAAUAUAUUAAAAUGUUGACCAUUUAAAUUGAAAAUACUAUGUUAUUAAAAAAAUUGAAAUACUAUGUUAAUGAUUUUGUUUUGGAGUUGAAGGAUACGAUGCUUGUAAAUAUAUGCAAUUUAUUUUUGGAUUAAACAAAGAUCUCUCUAAAUAUAUUAAAAUUUGAUUUUAGUCCCCCUAAAAUAUUCUUCAGGCUUUUGGUCUGUCUAAAAUUUUUCAUUAAUGAAAUUAAUCCAUACUUUUUAGUCAACUCAUGUCUAACAUUCAUAUUUUUUAAUGAAAAUUUCCAAAAAUGGAUAGAACAUUAUGACAAACUCUAAAAAAAUAAAAUGUUUGUUGCUUUUAAGUUAUAUCAAACCAAACUAUCCAUGAUUAUUUAUUUCAAUCACACCAACAAUAUAACAAAAAAAUUAAAUCUAAAUUCUUUUUUUUAAUGACACCAACAACAAUCUUUAUGUAGAAAAAAUAGUUUAAGGGUAUAAUUGGAAUAAUGAAAAAUUAAGUAUAAAUAUACUUAUAUAGUUUGUUACAUUUUUUAAAUAAUAAAGAAAAAUAUCAGACAUAUACAUAUAUAUAUAUAUAUAUAUAUAUAUAUAUAUAUAUAUUCUUAUCUAUACGGGUACGAUUCCUUUUAUGUAUGUGGGGUUGCCAAUUGAUGGAGAUGGUAGGAAACUCAGCUUUUGGAAACAUGUGGUCGAUAGAAUAAUUGCUUGAUUGUCGUCGUGGAACAAUAAAUUUUUGUCGCUUGGUUCUUCUAAAAUCUGUCAUGUCCUCUCUUCCAGUUUACUUUCUUUCCUUUUUCCAGGCUCCUACAUGUAUAAUUUCUUCUAUUGAAUAUAUUUUUUUUUAAAAAUAUUGUGGGGGUUGUGAAGUCUCUAAAAAAAUUGCUUGGAUAAAGUGGGAUUUUGUUUGUUUAUUUGUGGAUCAUGGAGGCUUGGGGGUUAGGAGGUUAGGGGAAUUUAAUUUAUCUUUGUUAGGGAAGUCGUGGUAGAGGUUGUUAGAUGAUAAGGACAGGUUGUGGUACCGUGUGUUAAAGGCCAGGUAUGGGGAGGUGGGAGGCCGAAUUCAAGAAGGGGGCAGCAAUGCUUCCGGUUGGUGGAAGAUGAUGUGUCGUGUGAGGGAGGGAAUAAGGUCGGGUUUAGGGAGCUGGUUUGAUGAUCAUACUAGGAGGGUGGUUGGCAAUGGUGGGAAUACUUUUUUUUUACUGAUAAUUGGUUGGGUGGAGCACCUUUAAGGCUUCAUUUUAACCGUCUUUAUGAGUUAUCAGUGCAUAAGGAGUGUUUGGUGGAGGAUAUGUCGAGGUUGGGGUGGGGGGAAGGAGGAAAUGGUUGAAGGUGGAGGAGAUGUUUGUUGACGUGGAAGGAGGAGAGUGUGAGGGAGUGCUCGACUUUGUUGCAUAAUGUUAUUUUGCAGGAUAAUAUUUAGGAUACUUGGAAAUGGCUUAUAGAUCCUUUACAUAGCUACUCAGUUCGUGGGACUUACCGUUUUCUAACAUCUGGUGACGUCCUGGUGGCUGCUGGUGGCGCUAACAACAAUGUGUGGCAUAAGUUAGUUCCAUCUAAAGUCUCUCUUUUUGCUUGACGUCUUCUUCAAAAUAGAAUUCCGACAAAAUUAAAUUUGGUGAGAAGAAAUGUGCUUCAACAUAAUGACAACUUGUGUGCGGGUUUGGCACUAUCGAGACGACAGAUCAUCUAUUCAUUGGUUGUGAUAUAUUUGGCAGUGUUUUGUGCUUAGUUUGCCGUUGGCUUGGCAUUUCUUUUGUUUGUCCAGAUGGGUUAAUGAUCACUUUCUUCAAUUUAUUAAUCUGGAGGGUGUACUGCAGUCAUCCUAUUUAUAUCUUAAGGUUAUUUGGCUUGCUUCUACAUGGGCUAUUUGGAAGGAAAGAGACAACCGUGUCUUAAGAAAUACGGCAGUCGAUCCUAACACUAUUUUGGAAAAAGUGAAGCUGAACUCCUUUUUAUGGUUAUCAUCGAACCAUGCUCCUAUUGCUUUUGGUUUUCAUGAUUGGUGGAGACACCCACUUCUCUGUAUGGAUGUCAUGUAAUCUUCAUUAUUUUUUUUCUUUUGAAGCUGGCACUCUCUCGUUAGGUACCUUCUUUCUAUAUCAGAUAUUAUGUGAUUUCACCACUUUUAGCACAUUUUGGGCGGGAUAAAUCACUUUUCGUUUGAGAAAUAUAUUCCAUUUUGAUUUGUUAAAAAAAAUAUUGUAUUGAAAAUUGAAGGCAUUUUUGAAAAAGAGAAAGAAAAAAAACAGUUCAAAAUAGCUGAAAGAAAUUAUUUUCUUCAUAUAGUAUAGAUUAUUACUUGUUUGAUUUUUGAAUAAAAAAUUAACGAAAUCAACACAGAAAAAUAAUUGAUAAUAUUCGAUCAAGACACUUAAUCGAAUAUUAUUAUUUGAUUUAUUUGAUAAUAUCAAGACACUUAAGAUAAAAUAGUUGUUUUUAGACCAUCUACAAUGUGGAAUCCUUCCCCUAUUUAGCACCAUGUUAAAUAGGCAUUUCCAUUGUGAAACCAAUUAAUAUGGUGCUUAUAAAGAUGAAUGCUUUUAUAGGCACCCUCUCUUGCCUAUUACUCAUGGGUCCCACAUAUACAAUUAAUUCUAAUUUUUUUUUUCUAUUCCAUUGUUGUAUUAUUUCAAUAUUAAAAAGUAAAUUAUAUAUUAGUUGCAAGAGUAACACAUAAUCGGUCAACAUUAAAUUUUCAACAUAAACUUUUUUUGAAACAACAAAUAAUUUACCCAUCUGAAUGGAAAAAAAAAAAUACAAUGAUUGGAUUUAAACAAAACAACAAAUAAUUUACCAUCAUUUAUUUUAUAUUGUUUUUUCAAGUUUUAACUUUUUUUAUAAUUUAUAAUUAAAUUACUUCAAUAUUUCAAAAUUAUAUAAUUAUGAAUGAAUAUAUAAAUUAUUGUUGAAAUUUAAUGAUAUAGAGUUAUUGUAGGGACCAAUUAAUAAUUAUUUUGAGGAGAUUAAAUGCUUAUUAAGUAUUAAUUAUAAAACGAAUGACGUGUAUAGUUGUUUUAUUUGAUAAUACUUUGGAGAAAAUAUCCACUUCGGUGACUAUGUCUGGUGUACAUUCUACCGGUACCUGCGUGGUGGGUGAUGUUGCAUUGUUGAAUAGUCUUUUGAUUCCUCCUACCAUCACUUGGGGUAAAGGCAAACACUGAUGACUUUGUUAUUGGUUCUAAUUCUUCUUGUGGCAGAAAUUUUAGAGAUUACACCGGCGCUUUCCUGGGCGGUUUUUCUAGUAACCUCGGUCUAGGGACUGUUUUUGAAGCGGAGCUCACGGGUCUUAUGCUUGCUAUAGAAUAUGCUGCUAGCCACAAUUGGUCCAGGUUGUGGGUAGAGAGUGACUCAUCCAGUGCGGUUCUUGCUUUCAAAAAUCACUCUGCCAUCCCUAUUCGUUUCCGAAACCGUUGACAUAAUUGCAUGCAGCUUGGAUUAUAUGUUAUGCGUACUCAUAUAUACAUUGAGGGAAUUGUUGUGCGGAUGCUUUGGCAACUAUGGGGCAUGAUUUGCUCGACACUACUUGGUUCCACAUUCUGUCGUCUUCUCAGUCGGUUGAUUUUACUAGAGAUAGAAAUGGGUUACCCAACUUUAGAUUACCGUAACCAUUUCUGUCUUUUUUCUGUAUUGUUUUUUUUUUUUUUUUGGUUUGUUUUGAGGGAUUGGCAUACCCCCCCCUCCGUUGAACAAUUUUUCUCCUUUUUAUUAAUAUUAUUACGUAUUAGGAAUGCAGUAAAGGAUAGGAGUUGUUGGGGGUGCCAACUUAGUUGGGAUGCUUCAACCUCUCCCUAGGGUCUGACCUUUCUGUUUGCCUAUAAAUAAAUAAAUAAAACGUGUAUAGUUGAGGCCCGUUUAAGCACCCAAAUAAAGUGCUUCAUUGUUGAUGGUCUUAAUGGAUUCGAUCAAGUAGUGUUUAAAGUAUGUAGAAACCUCGUAACGGUAUAUGCAAUAUAAUAUACAUGUAGCAGAAAAAUACUGCUCAAAGAAACAAAUUAGUUCUUGCUAAGUUACAUUAAUAUGUGUGUCUGAUGUAUGUGUAUGUUUCUCUGUGUUUGUGUGCCUACGAAGGGUUCAAUGUCUGGUGAUUUAGAAAAAUGUGUCUACAUCUUAGAAUAAAUAUAAUUGGACUUAAGUUAUGUCCAAAUAAGGGAGGAUUAUUUUUAUCUAAAGUAUAGAGGUUGAUAUUUAAUUAAGUCAACUAAAGACGGCAAGCUACCUAGUUUUGGCCAUGGAAAAUGACUUUUCUAAAGAGUUGGUCUCUUUCAUUUCAUAAGUGUAAAAAGGGAAAACUUGGAUAUAACAAUAAUCAGUGGACAAAUGGACAAUGGUUAGUCCUACAUAAGUAAAGAUAAGGAAAAUGUUAACACCGUUUGUGUCUAAUCCUAAUUAUAUAUUCAAUGGAAGUGAGCCGGCCAAUAUAGGAAAACUAAAUAAUCCAGAUGGCUAUUGAUCACCAUGCACAUUGUAGCCAAAGUGGGAGAGACGGGAACAAAAUUCAUUGUAAUUAGUAAUGAGUAAGUCACGAAUUUGGUCCAUGUCUUUGUACCAAAUUUUCAAAUUGGUUUCAGACUCUAUUAAUAACUCAAAAUGGUCCCUGUCUUUGUCAAACUUUUCUCAGAUUGGUCCAUGUCUCUAUUAGUUGAUUUGUAUUUUGAGUGUUAAUGGUUCAAUAUCUUUUGAAUAUUAUUUAGUGGUUAAUGGUCUAAUGCCUUUCGGAUCUUAUUUGGUACGUUAAUAACUUAAAAUACAAAACAACUAAUAGAGUCAAGGAUCAACAUGAAAAAUGAUUGACAAAGACAGGGACCAUUUUGAAUUAUUAAUAGAGUCAGGGACCAAUAUGAAAAUUUGGUACAAAGACAGGGACUAAAUUGAUGAUUUACUCAAUUAGUAAUCACUCUUGAAUUAUAUAUACAUAGUUAUUGUAAAGAGUUUUUACAUUAUUAUAUCUUAUAGGUUCAUGAAUGUUGUGUUUACGAUGAUUGAUUUUGCUAUCCUAAAAUGUUUAGCGUUUGUUGUCCGCUUAUAUUUUAUUAAUGUAUAGUUAAUCCUUAAUAUAUAAAAAAAUCCAGAAUAAAAAAGUGUUAAUCAAUGAUAACCAUCACUUCAUUAAGAUUCAAUUUGGUAAAGUUAAUGGAUGACUUGCGGUGUAUGAGCUUAUAGCUCAUAAUUGAUAGUUGGUUUAAUUUCUGGUGUUUUGUUUAAGGGCACUUAUACUGUGCGGUCAGAAAACGAUUUUCUUUUUUAAAAUUUAUUUUGUUUAGCCAACAGUAUAACAUAUGUAGAAAGGAAUUUUGGUGUAUCAUUAUUCCUAUAAAUACAAUUGUCAAAAUUGCAGAAGGGAAUUUUGGUGUAUCAUAUGCCACACAAUUUGUUGUAAUAUCGUGGGUAGUGUUCUCUCGUUUGAAAAAAUAAAUAAAGAGAAAUGUUAACGAAUAUCUUUGGGAUAUUCUUUAAGGAAUAUUAAAAGCAAGUAUUUAUAAAAAUAUGUGUAAUCAAUGUAUUAGAAAUUGAAAUAUUUUACUUUUUUUUUUUAAAUAAUUGCUUGUUUUGGUAUGCUUAAAGAGUGCCUAAAGACAUUCUUUAACAAAACCCAUAAAUAAAAGGCGACAAUUAAUUCCAAAUUCGAAUAGUUUAUUUCGAAAAUCUUAACAACGCAGAACCUAAUUAAGCUAAUUGGAAAAUUCACAAUGAUUUCACCAUAAAAAUUUUCUUUGUUUAAUCAACUGUUGAAUUAGCUUACAGCUAUAAAUGAUAUAAAUAAAAUACUGUUAAUAUUUUUUUUUCUUUUCAAUUAAGAUAAAAAAAAGUAAGAAAAAAUUAUUUAUUUGACUGGUUUGAUUUUAUCCAAGAACAUUUUGACGAGGAUAUUGUCCAAAGUCAUUCACGUGGUGAGAGACUGAGAGUAGUAGAAAAAUUGUCUUUCCAUAUAGGGAAAAAGAAAUCUGAGGAGAAAAUGGAAUGACAAUUUUCCAAGGCAGGCACUUUUUCUUUUGUUGAACGAGAAAACUAAAUUUUUUGAUCCAACAUUUUACUUUUCUAUUCCUUUUUAAUCAAUCUAAUCCUAUUUGAGAACAUCAAAUAUAGACAUAUCUUUUUGAAACACGAUUCUCAACGUUUUAGUUAGUAGAGGAAGUAAUGGACACCAUCUGAAGUUCGAAUUUUGGGAUAUUUGAAUGAAAGAAAAUAGAGAACUUUAAGAGAUAAAUGUUAUGAAGUUUCACUUUUCUACAUACUACAAAAUUAUGCUAACUUGUUGAACUCAAAAAUAUAACGAAGAAGAAUUUUAAAGCAUUUAUAUAAAUUCUUCAAAUACAAUCUAAGUUUUUUGUUUUUUCCGAUCAAGAACACAAUCUAUGUUGUUAUAACACCCUUAAAACAAAAUUAUAAUGAUUAUAAAUUAUCAUUUUCUAAAAACUAUAUCUCCUAUUAAAGUUGAAGAUUUGUCUCAUUCCUCUCCCUCCCCUCCCCUCCAAUCUCUCGAAAAGACAACAGUUGAGAUGAGAAUAAAACCCUUGGUUGUCACUUUUUUCUUCUUUCACAUCAUUUCAAAAUAGCAAAUACGUUUUCUUAAAUAAUAGUAAUUCCAUUUCUUCUCCCAAAAAAAAAAUAAUAAUUCCAUUUAAUAUUAAAAGCAGGCACAAAUUAACUAAUUUCUCCCUACAAUGUGUAUAAACUAAACUAAACCAAACUAAAUGAAACGCCAAAAUCACUUGUCAUGCCAACAAGUAAACAAACAAGUGCUAAAAAACAAAGAAACAACUUUCUCUUAAGAACAAAACACAGUUCUUGUUGACUCUUAAACCAAAAAUCUUUCAAUUCUUAAUAUCAAAGGUUACUUCCAUUUUAGUCUUUGAUAGUGCCUCAGCAUGUCUAAUGGCCUUUUCACUUAUCACAUCAACGGACAUUAACUUUAAUGUAGAGUAAAGAUGCAAUUACUCCUCUGAAAAUUACUCCUUUAAAAUUAAUAAAAAUUCAAUUACCUUCUUAAAAUUUCACAACUUUAAUCAAUUUACCUCCUCCAUCAAAUUUUUCUGUUAAUGAACCAAAACAAAUUCUAUCGUAAUCAAAUCUCUCACACACAACCAAACAGAUGCUAAGUUCCUUCCAUCCAACAAGAAAAGAAACAAGUGCUGAAAACCAAGAAAGCAGCUGUCCUAAAGAACAAAACAAAACUCUAGUUGACUCUUAACUCAAAAGUCCUUCAGUUCUCAAUAUCACACCUAUCCUCAUGACAUCAUCCCCACCAUGCAAAUCCUCCAUAAAUACCACACACAACUCAAUCACAUUACAUUAUCCACAAACAGUAACAGUAACAGUAACAAAUCCUCACACAAACACAAUCAUGUUACUACAAUUACUAUUCUUAUUCCUGUUCUUUCCAUUUUCAACAACAUCAUUAAACAUAUGGCCAAAACCAAGAAACCUCACGUGGACCCCACCACAUCAAACCACCCUCCUCUCAUCAACAUUCACCAUCACUACCACCACUCUCCACCACAACAACCACCUCACCGCCGCCAUAUCUCGCUACACAAACCUCAUCAAAACAGAACACAACCAUCCCUUAAUCCCACCAAAAACAAACCUCUCAAACAAUCUACCACCUCUUCAAACCCUAACAAUAACCAUAACAAACCCAAACACAGAACUAAACCACGCCACCGACGAAUCCUACACGUUAAUAAUCACAACUCCCACCGCCACCUUAACCGCUGUAACUUCAUGGGGAGCCAUGCAUGGUUUAGAAACAUUCUCACAGCUUGCAUGGGGAAACCCAACGCGCGUGGCUGUGAACGUGCGUGUUAACGACGCGCCGUUGUUCGGUCAUCGCGGUAUUAUGUUAGAUACUUCAAGAAACUACUAUCCAGUGAAGGAUUUGUUAAGAACUAUUGAAGCUAUGAGUAUGAAUAAGUUGAAUGUGUUUCAUUGGCAUGUAACUGAUUCUCAUUCUUUUCCUUUGAUUCUUCCUUCUGAACCAAUGUUGGCUGAGAAAGGUGCUUAUGAUGUUGAUAUGGUUUAUACUGUUGAUGAUGUUAAAAGGGUUGUUGAAUUUGGGCUUGAUCGUGGUGUUCGUGUUAUCCCUGAGAUCGAUGCUCCUGGUUAGUUCUGUUUUUUGUCUUUAAUUUAUUGAUUUACUUUACUAAAUUGUGUGAUUGUGUGAUUAGAGAGUGAUGAAAGGAUGUUUUGAAAAAAGUGCUUUCGGUGAGAAGAAUAUUUUAGUUUUACUAUCUCAAUCUUAUAUUAUAUGUUUUGUUUUGAUUAAUUGUUUAUCUUGAUAGUUAGUGCCUUAAAAUAUCCAUAGAACAAUAGUUACAUUUAAGGCUAUGUUUGGCAAUACAAUAAAAACUGGCUUAUAGAUUAUAGUUUAUAGCUUCUAAGCUCACAUGAUUCAAAAAACCUGUUUGGUAACUGACAUUUUAUUACGAGCUUAUAGCUUAUUUCACUAGCUUAAGGAUUAUUCUCCAGACACUAUUUCAAAUAGCGUUUGAGCUUAUAACAUAUUAUUAUUUAUCUUUUUUUUACAUUUAUUAGUUAGUUGAACCGGUAAUUUUACCAAACACUUCAAUUGACUUAUCAGCCAUAAGUCAUUAGUCUCCGGCUAUAAGCUAUCAGCUAUUUUUUCCAAACAAAGCCUUACAUUUGAUAAGUUAGCUUAAAAUAUCUUUCGAGCAGUAAUAUUCAUUAAUAGUCUGAGAAAAGUAUUCUUUUGAGGAAUGGUAUGUUGAGAAUAAUCUGAUUUACUGCAAAAUUAAAAUUAUGAGGGAAGUACUCUUUUCAAGAAAAGUUUAGAAUAUGUCAAUGGUUUGAUAAGGAUUCAGCUCAAAUUGUACAACAACUUGAGUUCGAAUUCCGUUACUUACAUGAGAACCUCAUUUGUGAGGAAUAUGUAGGUAACUUCGUUAGAGCUCAUUGAGCCUCGAAGCUUUUCCUCACUCUAGUGAGCUCCGAGACCAAACUCGUCCACACCUUUUAUUUAUAGAAAAGAAAAGUUGGGACAUAGGAGUAUUUUUUUUCUUUUAUUAUUUGGAUUUUUGUUGUUUUGUACUUGUCUUGCACUUUGCGGCACAAUUGUGUUGAAGAUUGUCACCAUAACGAACAGUACUGAUUAAUUAAUUGUGCCGUUGGUUUGAUUACUCUGCCUUCUUUUAUUGGAAAUUUGUUAUUAUGCCCUGCAUGUUUCUCAGAUCAAGGAAU
rnacentral:lncRNA from 1 species